GCACCUUAUUGCAAGGGUUUUCUCAUUGAAGUGAAAAGUGAGAAAUCGCAACUUUAAUUUUAAGAAAAAUUACAGAAAACUAUUUAAUUUGAAAAACAAAAAUUUUUAAAAAUUAUUUACCACUUCUAAUCCAAAAAUUUAGGAUUUGGGAUCCAUAUACGUAUUGAAAAAGUGUUAAGCACUCCACAAUUGUCUCUAAACAGAGUAGGUAGAUUU
rnacentral:misc_RNA from 1 species